rnacentral:tRNA from 1 species
GGACGUAGUAUAACCUGGCUAGAAUAAGCGGCUCCAGACCGCUGGAUCUGGGUUCGAAUCCCAGCGUCCCCA